ACUAUACUCCCUCCGUCCCAAAAUUCUUGUCUUAGAUUUGUCUAAAUACGGAUGUAUCAAGUCACAUUUUAGUAUUAGAUACAUCCGUAUCUAGACAAAACUAAGACAAGAAUUUUGGGACGGAGGGAGUAUAUA
rnacentral:pre_miRNA from 1 species